UACGAAAGGGGCUAGCGUUGUUCGGAAUUACUGGGCGUAAAGCGCACGUAGGCGGCUUGGUAAGUUGGGGGUGAAAUCCCGGGGCUCAACCCUGGAACUGCCUCCAAAACUGCUAGUCUAGAGGACGCUAGAGGUUGGUGGAAUUCCGAGUGUAGAGGUGAAAUUCGUAGAUAUUAGGAAGAACACCGGUGGCGAAGGCGGCCCACUGGCGCGGUUCUGACGCUGAGGUGCGACAGCGUGGGGAGCUAACAGG
rnacentral:rRNA from 1 species